rnacentral:rRNA from 1 species
AUUGAACGCUGGCGGCAUGCUUUACACAUGCAAGUCGAACGGUAACAGGCCGCAAGGUGCUGACGAGUGGCGCACGGGUGAGUAAUGCAUCGGAACGUGCCCAGUCGUGGGGGAUAACGCAUCGAAAGCUGCGCUAAUACCGCAUACGAUCCAUGGAUGAAAGCGGGGGACCGGAAGGCCUCGCGCGAUUGGAGCGGCCGAUGUCAGAUUAGGUAGUUGGUGGGGUAAAGCCUCACCAAGCCCACGAUCUGUAGCUGGUCUGAGAGGACGACCAGCCACACUGGGACUGAGAAACGGCCCAGACUCCUACGGGAGGCAGCAGUGGGGAAUUUUGGACAAUGGGCGCAAGCCUGAUCCAGCAAUGCCGCGUGCAGGAAGAAGGCCUUCGGGUUGUAAACUGCUUUUGUACGGAACGAAACGGUCCUGGUUAAUACCUGGGGCUAAUGACGGUACCGUAAGAAUAAGCACCGGCUAACUACGUGCCAGCAGCCGCCGUAACAC